rnacentral:lncRNA from 1 species
AACUAGAAAGUGGAGAAUUUGGUACGAAUCAGAAAACCCAAAGAAAGACAAAAUGAGCUACCAAUGAGGAGCAGAAAACCCAUUAUCCCAGAGAAAUCCCAAAUCUUCUAAAACUACCAAUUUUCUCGUUGAACAACCCAACCGAUUCCUACUUCGCCUAACAUCCCCAAAUCUACAACCAUAGCUUAAUCCAUUCCUGGAAAGGAGACAAGAAUCCAUCUUUUUGUCUGCAAAUGAAGUAAGAUCGAUCAACCAAAACAAGAGUCAAAGAGGAGGUGCUCUAUCACCAAUUGAUAUGAACUUAUUCAAAUGAAGUAAGAUCCAUCAACCAAAACAAGAGUCAUACCGGCUUCAUUCACAACAUUGAAGCAUCGUACACAAGCUAGCAAUCCGCCUCCGCGACCAGGAACCCGCGCCCUCUAAUUGGGCCACCCUCUGUGGAAGCCGUUGAUGGACACUGAUGGUGAUUGAUCAGGACUUAAACUUGCAGAUUGGUUCAACGCCACAAUCGGAAAAUGAACCGAUCUGGGCAUGUUUCGGCAGAGAAGGAAAAAGUACCCGUGGUUGGGACUUGGGAGGUUGGCUGAACCUGGAGGUUGGAAUUAUGUAGGAUUCUUUUUUCUUUAAUUCUUUGUUCUCUCAGGAUUCAGAUAUGUCAACCAGCAAAAGUUGCUGAUCUCCCUAACCAAUCAAUUCUCUCUCUCUCUCUCUUUUCCUCUCUCUUCUCUCUCUUCUCUUUCUCUCUUUUGAUUGGAUGGUCAUGGAGACCAGCAAUCUUUGCUGGUCGGCAAAUCCGAAUCCGUUCUCUCAUU